rnacentral:rRNA from 1 species
UACAGAGGUCCCAAGCGUUGUUCGGAUUCAUUGGGCGUAAAGGGUGCGUAGGCGGCGCGGUAAGUCGGGUGUGAAAUCUCGGAGCUUAACUCCGAAACUGCAUUCGAUACUGCCGUGCUUGAGGACUGGAGAGGAGACUGGAAUUUACGGUGUAGCGGUGAAAUGCGUAGAUAUCGGGAGGAACACCUGUGGCGAAAGCGGCGCACUGGACCACAACUGACGCUGAGGCGCGAAAGCUAGGGGAGCAAACAGG